AGCUGAGUGUAGAGCAUUCAGAAACCAGGACAGAAAGUCAACUCCAUCCCCUGGAAAAGAAGGAAGGGCAACACCAUCCUGUCCUCUGGGCGUCCUCCUCUAUUUGGACAUUAAAUGCUGGCACUCCUCAAGGUCAAGCUCUUAGUCUUCUGAUCUUUGCUCUCUCCCUGGGAUCUCUGACCCAACCAGGACCUUCCAUUAUCAUCUCUACUUCAAAUGUGUAUCUCACCACCCAUCAAAAGCCAGUAUUGAAUUUCCCCUCUAAAUCAC